UGGGCAACCUGCCUCAUAGAGGGGAAUAAGCCUUUCGAAAGGAAGAUUAAUACCGCAUAAGAUUGUAGCUUCGCAUGAAGUAGCAAUUAAAGGAGCAAUCCGCUAUGAGAUGGGCCCGCGGCGCAUUAGCUAGUUGGUGAGGUAACGGCUCACCAAGGCGACGAUGCGUAGCCGACCUGAGAGGGUGAUCGGCCACAUUGGGACUGAGACACGGCCCAGACUCCUACGGGAGGCAGCAUG
rnacentral:rRNA from 1 species